UUAACUAUUGUAUAGUACUCAGACGACACUAACGUUCAGGGUUUGGGGUCCUUUGGCGGGCGCGUACCAGCGGGGGGCCGGUAGCCUGGCCGGGGCCUGGCGGCCCGCCAAAGCAACAAAGGUAACAAUAACACAGGGUGGGAGAUCUACCCGUGAGGGCACGAACUCUGUAAUGAUCCCUCCGCAGGUUCACCUACGGAGA
rnacentral:misc_RNA from 1 species